CCUACGGGAGGCAGCAGUAGGGAAUCUUCCACAAUGGGCGAAAGCCUGAUGGAGCAACGCCGCGUGGGUGAAGAAGGUCUUCGGAUCGUAAAACCCUGUUGUUAGAGAAGAAAGUGCGUGAGAGUAACUGUUCACGUUUCGACGGUAUCUAACCAGAAAGCCACGGCUAACUACGUGCCAGCAGCCGCGGUAAUACGUAGGUGGCAAGCGUUAUCCGGAGUUAUUGGGCGUAAAGGGAACGCAGGCGGUCUUUUAAGUCUGAUGUGAAAGCCUUCGGCUUAACCGGAGUAGUGCAUUGGAAGCUGGGAGACGUGAGUGCAGAAGAGGAGAGUGGAACUCCAUGUGUAGCGGUGAAAUGCGUAGAUAUAUGGAAGAACACCAGUGGCGAAAGCGGCUCUCUGGUCUGUAACUGACGCUGAGGUUCGAAAGCGUGGGUAGCAAACAGGAUUAGAUACCCCUGUAGUC
rnacentral:rRNA from 1 species